rnacentral:rRNA from 1 species
CGAUAGCGUAUAUUUAAGUUGUUGCGGUAAAAAAGCUCGUAGUUGGAUUUCUACCGAAGAUAGCCGGUCGGGUCUUCGACCUUGUAUCUGGUUUUGUCUUUGGUAUCCUCAUAGGGAACGUUUCUGCGCUUUAUUGCGUGGUGCGGUAUCUAUGACUUUUACUUUGAGGAAAUUAGAGUGUUCACGGCAGGCAAACGCCUUGAAUAUAUUAGCAUGGAAUAAUAACAUAGGAUCUUCGUCCUAUUUUGUUGGUUUCUAGGGCUAAGAUAAUGAUUAAUAGGGAUAAUUGGGGGCAUCUGUAUCAACGCGUCAGAGGUGGAAUUCUUGGAUUGCGUUGCGACAAACUACUGCGAAAGCAUUUGCCAAGGAUGUUUUCAUUGA